UCUUCUGCAGUCUGGCCCGCUCAUCCUCCACCUCCUUCAGCUUACGGCACAAGACGGCAUUCUCAUCGUCCUUAAACAAAAUGUCAAGGACAUAUGUCACGUUCUGGUCAGAAGCUAAAGAUGUCCUCGUGCAUAAGUAGAGAAGUCCCCAAAACCCUCAGGAGGUCUCUUUGGCCUUCCUGGUUUCAAGGACUUCUUUUCUGUCACUGGCUACAGAAUGAAGUAAAUAUGCUGUGAAAUUUAACCUGGCCAAGUAAUAUCGCUGUGAUCAAAAGAUAUUUGAGUUUUAC